rnacentral:rRNA from 1 species
CUUAGAGUUUGAUCCUGGCUCAGAAUGAACGCUGGCGGCGUGCCUAACACAUGCAAGUCGAGCGAAGCUUAUUAAAGAAACUUUCGGGUGGAAAUAAUAAGACUUAGCGGCGGACGGGUGAGUAACGCGUGGGCAACCUGCCCUAUACAGGGGGAUAACAACGAGAAAUCGUUGCUAAUACCGCAUAAGCACACAAUAUUGCAUGAUAAAGUGUGAAAAACUCUGGUAGUAUAGGAUGGGCCCGCGUCUGAUUAGCUAGUUGGUGGGGUAGAGGCCUACCAAGGCAACGAUCAGUAGCCGGCCUGAGAGGGUGAACGGCCACAUUGGGACUGAGACACGGCCCAAACUCCUACGGGAGGCAGCAGUGGGGAAUAUUGCACAAUGGGGGAAACCCUGAUGCAGCAACGCCGCGUGAAGGAAGACGGUUUUCGGAUUGUAAACUUCUAUCAGCAGGGAAUAAAAUGAAGGUACCUGACUAAGAAGCCCCGGCUAACUACGUGCCAGCAGCCGCGGUAAUACGUAGGGGGCAAGCGUUAUCCGGAUUUACUGGGUGUAAAGGGUGCGUAGGCGGCAAAGCAAGUCAGAUGUGAAAGCCCGUUGCUCAACAACGGGACUGCAUUUGAAACUGCUUAGCUAGAGUGCAGGAGAGGUAAGUGGAAUUCCUAGUGUAGCGGUGAAAUGCGUAGAUAUUAGGAAGAACACCAGUGGCGAAGGCGGCUUACUGGACUGUAACUGACGCUGAGGCACGAAAGCGUGGGGAGCGAACAGGAUUAGAUACCCUGGUAGUCCACGCUGUAAACGAUGAAUACUAGGUGUCGGGGUCCGACAGGACUUCGGUGCCGCAGCAAACGCAUUAAGUAUUCCGCCUGGGGAGUACGGUCGCAAGACUGAAACUCAAAGGAAUUGACGGGGGCCCGCCCAAGCGGCGGAGCAUGUGGCUUAAUUCGACGCAACGCGAAGAACCUUACCAGGUCUUGACAUCCCAUUGACCGUACCGUAAUAGGUACUUACCCUUCGGGUACAGAAGUGACAGGUGGUGCAUGGUUGUCGUCAGCUCGUGUCGUGAGAUGUUGGGUUAAGUCCCGCAACGAGCGCAACCCUUAUCUUUAGUAACCAGCACGUAGGAUGGGGACUCUAGAGAGACUGCCGGGGAUAACUCGGAGGAAGGUGGGGAUGACGUCAAAUCAUCAUGCCCCUUAUGAUUUGGGCUACACACGUGCUACAAUGGUGACUACAAAGGGAAGCGAAGCCGUGAGGUGAAGCAAACCCCAUAAAGGUCAUCCCAGUUCGGAUUGUAGUCUGCAACUCGACUACAUGAAGUUGGAAUCGCUAGUAAUCGCGAAUCAGAAUGUCGCGGUGAAUACGUUCCCGGGCCUUGUACACACCGCCCGUCACACCAUGGGAGUUGGAAGUGCCCGAAGUCAGUGACCCAACUACGGAGGGAGCUGUCGAAGGUGAAGUCGAUGACUAGGGUGAAGUCGUAACAAGGUAACC